rnacentral:rRNA from 1 species
AACGAGCGCAACCUUUAUCCUGUGUUGCCAGCACGUAAUGNUGGGGACUCGUAAGGAGACUGCCGGUGAUCAANUCGGAGGAAGGUGGGGACUGACGUCAAGUCAUCAUGGCCCCUUAUGGCCAGGCUNCANACGUGCUACAAUGGUCGGUACAGAGGGCUUGCGAUCCCGCGAGGNUGAGCGAAUCCCAUAAAGCCGGUCGUAGUCCGGAUUGGAGUCUGGAACUCCGACUUCNUUGAAGUCCGGAAUGGCUAGUAAUCCCGGAUCCAGAACGCCGGGGUGAAUACGUUCCCGGGCCUUUGUACACA